GUGUCGGCCGCCGCGGUAAUACGGAGGGUGCAAGCGUUAAUCGGAAUUACUGGGCGUAAAGCGCGCGUAGGUGGCUUGAUAAGCCGGUUGUGAAAGCCCCGGGCUCAACCUGGGAACGGCAUCCGGAACUGUCAGGCUAGAGUGCAGGAGAGGAAGGUAGAAUUCCCGGUGUAGCGGUGAAAUGCGUAGAGAUCGGGAGGAAUACCAGUGGCGAAGGCGGCCUUCUGGACUGACACUGACACUGAGGUGCGAAAGCGUGGGUAGCAAACAGGAUUAGAUACCCUGGUAGUCCACGCCGUAAACGAUGUCGACCAGCCGUUGGGUGCCUAGAGCACUUUGUGGCGAAGUUAACGCGAUAAGUCGACCGCCUGGGGAGUACGGCCGCAAGGUUAAAACUCAAAUGAAUUGACGGGGGCCCGCACAAGCGGUGGAGCAUGUGGUUUAAUUCGAUGCAACGCGAAGAACCUUACCUACCCUUGACAUCUACAGAAGCCGGAAGAGAUUCUGGUGUGCCUUCGGGAACUGUAAGACAGGUGCUGCAUGGCUGUCGUCAGCUCGUGUUGUGAAAUGUUGGGUUAAGUCCCGUAACGAGCGCAACCCUUGUCCUUAUUUGCCAGCGAGUAAUGUCGGGAACUCUAAGGAGACUGCCGGUGACAAACCGGAGGAAGGUGGGGACGACGUCAAGUCAUCAUGGCCCUUACGGGUAGGGCUACACACGUGCUACAAUGGCCGGUACAAAGGGCUGCGAGCUCGCGAGAGUCAGCGAAUCCCUUAAAGCCGGUCUCAGUCCGGAUCGGAGUCUGCAACUCGACUCCGUGAAGUCGGAAUCGCUAGUAAUCGUGAAUCAGAAUGUCACGGUGAAUACGUUCCCGGGCCUUGUACACACCGCCCGUC
rnacentral:rRNA from 1 species